UAUACAUGCAGUCGAGCGGUCGGCGCCUCUUCGGAGGCGUCGGCAGCGGCGGACGGGUGAGGAACACGUGAGUAACCGGGCGUCCGGUGGGGGAUAUCGGGCCGAAAGGCGCGGCAAUCCCGCAUGCGCCCCGGGCGGCGACAGCCGCCGGGGGGAAAGGCCUUCGGGUCGCCGGACGGGGGGCUCGCGGCCCAUUAGCUAGUUGGGGGGGUAACGGCCUCCCAAGGCGACGAUGGGUAGCCGGCCUGAGAGGGUGAUCGGCCUCACUGGGACUGAGACACGGCCCAGACUCCUACGGGAGGCAGCAGUAGGGAAUCUUCCACAAUGGGCGCAAGCCUGAUGGAGCAACGCCGCGUGAGUGAAGACGGCCUUCGGGUUGUAAAGCUCUGUCUGUCGGGACGAGGACCGCGCCGGACGGCGCGGGGGGACGGUACCGGCGGAGGAAGCCCCUGCAAACUACGUGCCAGCAGCCGCGGUAAGACGUAGGGGGCAAGCGUUGUCCGGAAUUACUGGGCGUAAAGGGCGUGUAGGCGGUUGCGCACGUAGCGGUUUUCAGCCGUCGGCUCACCCGACGGAGGGCGGCUAAACGGCGCAGCUCGAGGGCAGGAGAGGUGCAUGGAAUUCCUGGUGGAGCGGUGAAAUGCGUAGAGAUCAGGAAGAACACCGGUGGCGAAGGCGGUGCACUGGCCUGGCCCUGACGCUGAGGCGCGACAGCGUGGGGAGCGAACGGGAUUAGAUACCCCGGUAGUCCACGCCGUAAACGAUGGAUACGAGGUGUCGCGGGGUCCACCUCGCGGUGCCGGAGCUAACGCACUCAGUAUCCCGCCUGGGGAGUACGGCCGCAAGGUU
rnacentral:rRNA from 1 species